rnacentral:lncRNA from 1 species
GGAACCGCCGCGUUUUCUCCGCUCGCGGUUGUGCAAAGCUGGCGCUGCCGGUCCAAAGCGUCGUAUUUUCUUAAUUUGCGCUAUUAAUAGAAGUGGAGAAGUGAGAAAGGUCUGCGACAAAGGGAGGGGAAAGCCGGCACCGCAGAUUCCCGUUCUCAGGCCGACGUCACCCUCUCCUCCCCGGAUCCCACAGCGGGGAGUUUCCCAGCUGGCUGCGAGGCCUAUAAGGUGGGGAUGGGCUGCAGCUGCACAGAUCACGUAUGGGCUCCGUGACCGAUGUGAUGCGGAGAGCUCUGAUGUGCAUUCAUGGUAUUGUGGUGAGUGCCUGCGGAGCGGGGCUGCGGCUGAACGCGAGCAGUGAUCCCAAAGCCAUGAGGUGGCCGUGGGAUGGGAAGGCGUUGGGGCUGCGAUAUGGGUGGGUGCUGCGCCCCGAGGCGGGCAGUGCACGGCUGGCAGCUCGUGUAUGCAGAUGGUGCGGGGCCAGGAAUAGGGCUGAUGGGGUCUGCAUCCCUCUGUGCUGACUGUAACCUCUGCUUGGGGCUUCUCUGCAGUCUGUUUACCCACACAAGGCAGGAUUGAUUUCAUCUUCAUCUCAUAGCAGCCAAGCUCAGGGAUCCCACACCCAGGAAGCACCUACGGACAACAGUCAUCUCACUGGGAGGGUCUGCUUCCAUGGGUAGAUCCCACAGUCCAGCUGGGAGAGCCAAAACUGACCUCACUGACGCUUCAUCGCUCCCCCUUUGCACCACCGCUCCUCACCCAUCAGAGGAUGAGGCUCAGCUGCUUCAGGAGGUGGAAAGAGGUUGGUGAGAGUUGGUUGCAGUGUAACCUGCAGCCCAGCUGGCAUGGGCCACUCGACGGGAGGGGAAAGGAGCUCCGCUCUGCAGCUUCUCGUCGUAGUGUUUCAUGGUUGGGAGGUACCAAACUCCCGUAAAAACGCUGUCCCAGGUUUGCUCUGCUUUACACUUCUCAUGGGACAGAAAGUUUGGUAUUUCUGUACAAUGCUUACUGUCUGUCUUAUCCAAAGCAACAAAAAUAAACACCAUUAAGUCCGUGUUGGCGAAGUUUAUUUGCGGGUCAGAAGGCCCCUUGGGAGGCCUGGGAACAGGGCUAGCAUCUCCAGCCAGCUAUGGGGAGCCACUUCCUACGGAAAGCCUUUCUGCCUAAAGCCUCUGCCCUUCACUUCAAGUUUAUCAGGUGUGCCAUUUCAGUGGGUGAUUUAUAUGCCCUAUGAAUCCCAACAGCACCCAAGCAGAGAAGGCAUUCACCAGGUGAGGCUGUUGUGACCUCAAAUAUUAGUAAAAAUAGGAAAAAUGUGUUUCCAGCAUCUGUUCAGGCCCAGAAAGUCCUCUGAAAUGGCUGUAGGCAAGUUGCUCAAAGAGAAGCAAGACUUGGCAACCUUCAUGAAGUCUCAGAGUAACAGGACAGAGUUCCAGAAGUAAGCAUCUUUUCCUCACACUGCAGUAUUUCUUUUGGCAAAU